CUCGAUUAAUUUCACCUAUAUAGUGUUAAUCCCCAAAGUCCCAAAACCUGAAAAAAUGCCUGAAUAUCGUCCUAUUAGCCUUUGUAACGUGAUUUACAAAAUUGGGUCCAAAGCUAUCGCUAAUAGGAUCAAAACAGUGUUGAGCGAUAUAAUUUCACCCACCCAAUCCGCGUUUGUGCCUAAUCGUCUUAUAACUGAUAAUGUAUUGGUCGCCUAUGAAUUGAACCAUUACAUUAAAAGUAACUCCAGGAAACGAUCAAAAUACAUGGCAAUGAAAUUAGAUAUUAGUAAAGCGUAUGAUCGGAUUGAGUGGCUUUUCAUUCGGAAAAUAUUGGACAAAUUUGGUUUCCCGCAAUCUCUAGUUGAAUUGAUUAUGUUAUGCGUGACCACUGUAUCUUAUUCUUUUAUUUUCAACGGCUCGCAGUGUGGAUCUAUCUCUCCGACCUGCGAACUCCGGCAAGGCGAUCCACUGUCACCAUACUUGUUUAUUCUUUGCACGGAGGCCUUAAUUGCUAUGCUCACCCGAUCCACGGAGAACGGCCAAGUACGGGGAUUUCGGGUGGCCCCCACGGCUCCUUUGGUUUCCAGCCUAUGUUUUGCAGAUGACACGCUCAUUUUCUGUCAAGCUACGGAAUCAAAUGCUCAUGCUUUGCGGGAUAUUCUUACACGAUAUGAGAGGGUCUCGGGCCAGAAGAUCAAUUUGGAAAAGUCUACGAUGACUUUUUGCCCGUCUACUCCGUCGCUUUUGAGAGACAACAUUCACGCCAUCCUCGAUUUCCAGAUAGUUGAUAAGUUCGAUAAAUACCUCGGUCUCCCGAUUUCGCUGGGUCGAACUCGAAAAGAGAUCUUUUCGUUCCUCAGAGAUAGGAUAUGGACGCGCAUCAAGGGAUGGGACUCAAAACAACUCUCAAAAGCGGGGAAGGAGAUUCUCAUAAAAGCAGUACUUCAAGCUAUACCGUCAUAUGUAAUGUCAUGUUUUAUCCUACCACUAGGAUUGAUUGAUGAGAUUGAAGCGGCAGUUAGGAGGUUCUGGUGGUCAAACGGAGAUGGGAGGAGAAUGUCUUGGUUGGCUUGGAAAAAAGUCUGUCGUCCAAAAGAGUCGGGAGGUAUGGGAUUUCGGUAUCUCCGAGCGUUUAAUUUGGCUUUGGUCGCGAAACAGGUCUGGCAAAUCUCCACGCAACCUGAUUGCUUGAUGUCCCAUAUUUUUCAAGCGAAAUACUUCCCGUAUUGCGAUUUUUGGUCGGCUUCUCUGGGUAAUCACCCAUCAUCAACAUGGCGAUGUAUUUUGGCAGCCCGAGACCAUGCUAGAGCAGGGUUACGUGUUCGGAUUGGAAAUGGAGAGUCAACCUGAUACAAUUCCACCUCUACCAACUCAUUUCCAUGAAGAAAUGGAAGUUAAUUAAGGAUAAUAUAUCAAUAAACUGACUUUUAUUAAGUCAGUUAUUAUAUUUUAGUUAUUCCCUGUGUUUAGGAGUUUAUCCAUAAACUGACUUUUAUUAAGUCAGUUAUUAGAUUUCAGUUAUUCCUUAUGUUUAGGAGAUUAGUUUUGUGUUAAUUUAGUAUAAAUAGUUAGUAUUUGUUUAGUUUUUAGGGAUUGGGAAUUAGUAACUUGUAUGAAUUUCUGGAGUUUUGUCCUCUCCAUACGGACAACUAUAUAUGGUAUAUUAUUGUGUUUAAGAUUCUUGCACAUAAUCGGUCAUCGUUAUUUACUAUUCUCUUGGAUUGUUCUCGAUUCCUAUCAAUGGUAUCAGCCAGAACGAUAGAUAUGGUUAAUACUCGAUCUUCCAUUUCACAAAAUGAUCAGCCACCAACCCUUCCCAACCCACCAACCCACCAAAUUUCAGAUUCCACAGCCCUUCAACUUUCCGCCAUUGCUGCAAAACUCAACAUGUUGGACUCACUUGCCGCUGAAGUUGCUGCACUGAAGGAACAAUCGAGUGGAUCUCCAAUUGGGGAAACAAGCACGAGAGUUCGAAACAAAGGUAAGAACACUGAUAUUCCGUUGGGACCGCGUGACAAAGGUCGAUCAAAUUGGUCGGAGGGUGAUGACGAUGAUGCCGACAACCCUGGGCUGUUGCGAACUCCUUCACGACGACCACAUACAAAAAUGGACUUUCCAAAGUACGACGGUGGCGAUCCUCGUGGAUGGAUAUUGAAAGCCGAAAAAUAUUUUCGAUACUAUCAAACACCGGAGGAACUCAAAGUCGAUGUUGCAGCCAUGUAUCUUGAAGGUGAUGCUCUUGAUUUCUUUGCUUGGGUUAACCGCGAAAGCAUUUUGCUGUACUGGGAUGAUCUUGUUCGCGCUUUACAAGAAAAUUACGGACCAGCCGAGUUUCAAAAUCCUAAUGAGUAUCUCUGUAGCAUUCAACAAGUUGGUUCAGUCACCGAAUACCGCCAAGAAUUUGCAAAGAGAUCGUCACGUGUCACAAAUUGGCCUGAUCAUUGCUUAUUAGGUGUGUUUUUAAAUGGCUUGAGGGAUGAACUAAAGGCUGAUGUUCGAAUUCACAAGCCCAGAACGGUAUAUAAAGCUAUGAGUUUGGCCCUUGAAUUUGAAUCCAAACUCACAUCCAAUGGAGACUUAAAUCGUCUUCAUAACGAUCCCCAUUUUCCUGCACCAAAUAAAGCAUACCCUCAGCCCCAUUCAGUUAAACCUCCGUCGAUGCCAUCUAGACAAGCUCUGUCAUGGGAAGAGAGACAGUUACGAAUGACAAAAGGUCUAUGUUUUCGAUGCAACGAAAAAUUUGGACCAGGCCACCGCUGCAAAUCGUCUAACUUUUCCCUCAUGGAACUUAUGGAGAACGAACCUCCAGCUAUAAAGGCGCAAGACGCAAUCAAUGCACAUGCCGAGGAUGCUACUGUUGCCGGAUUGGCUGAAAUAUCUUUCCAUGCUAUGAUGGAGACUUCAGCAACAUCAACCAUGCAAAUUUUGGGAAAAAUUAAGCACCGACAAGUUUUAAUCCUCGUUGACAGUGGGUCAACCCACAAUUUCGUGGCGAAACAAAUAGUCCAAGACGUUGCAUUACCUAUCCAAGAGGUUCCUUCUUUUGGAGUAAAAAUUGGCAACGGGGAUGUGAUCAAAUGCAAUCAAAUUUGCCGAGACAUUUCGGUUCAGCUCCCUGGAUUAACUAUCAUCCAAGAUUUUUAUCCAUUUGCACUCGGUGGAGCUGAUUUGGUCUUGGGAAUUAAAUGGCUUGCUUCUUUGAAUACUGUGCAAGCAAAUUGGAACGAGAUGUUUCUCAUUUUUCAGUUGAAUGGGUAGAAGUGCAAGCUUCAAGGAGUUCCUCACACACCAACUUUUGAAGCCGAUUAUCAAUAUUGUAACACAUUUCCGCCUUGAGGACAAGCCGAAUUUUCAGGGGGUGUUGUACUGAUACAAUUCCACCUCUACCAACUCAUUUCCAGGAAGAAAUGGAAGUUAAUUAAGGAUAAUAUAUCAAUAAACUGACUUUUAUUAAGUCAGUUAUUAUAUUUUAGUUAUUCCCUGUGUUUAGGAGUUUAUCCAUAAACUGACUUUUAUUAAGUCAGUUAUUAGAUUUCAGUUAUUCCUUAUGUUUAGGAGAUUAGUUUUGUGUUAAUUUAGUAUAAAUAGUUAGUAUUUGUUCAGUUUUUAGGGAUUGAGAAUUAGUAACUUGUAUGAAUUUCUGGAGUUUUGUCCUCUCCAUACGGACAACUAUAUAUGGUAUAUUAUUGUGUUUAAGAUUCUUGCACAUAAUCGGCCAUCGUUAUUUACUAUUCUCUUGGAUU
rnacentral:lncRNA from 1 species